CGCUAAUGGCUCAUUACAACAGCUAUAAUUUACUUGAUCUUGACAACCUACUUGGAUAACUGUGGUAAUUCUAGAGCUAAUACAUGCACCAAAGCUCCGACCGUAAGGGAAGAGCGCAUUUAUUAGAACAAAACCAAGCGGCUUCGGCCGUCCAAUGUUGACUCAGAAUAACUAAGCUGAUCGCAUGGUCUUGUACCGGCGACGUGUCUUUCAAGUAUCUGCCUUAUCAACUUUCGAUGGUAGUGUAUCUGACUACCAUGGUGAUGACGGGUAACGGAGGAUAAGGGUUCGACUCCGGAGAAGGGGCCUGAGAAAUGGCCACUACGUCUAAGGAUGGCAGCAGGCGCGCAAAUUACCCACUCUCAGAACGAGGAGGUAGUGACGAGAAAUAACGAGACCGUUCUCUUAAGAGGCCGGUCAUCGGAAUGGGUACAAUUUAAACCCUUUAACGAGUAUCUAUGAGAGGGCAAGUCUGGUGCCAGCAGCCGCGGUAAUUCCAGCU
rnacentral:rRNA from 1 species